GUGCUCGCUUCGGCAACACAUAUACUGAAAUCGGAACGAUACAGAGAAGAUCAGCAUGGCCCCCGUGCAAGGAUGACACGCAAAUCUGUGAAACGUCCCAUAUUAAA
rfam:Myotis davidii contig143119, whole genome shotgun sequence.